rnacentral:rRNA from 1 species
UACGUAGGGUGCAAGCGUUGUCCGGAAUUAUUGGGCGUAAAGAGCUCGUAGGCGGUCUGUCGCGUCUGCUGUGAAAUCCCGAGGCUCAACCUCGGGCCUGCAGUGGGUACGGGCAGACUAGAGUGCGGUAGGGGAGAAUGGAACUCCUGGUGUAGCGGUGGAAUGCGCAGAUAUCAGGAAGAACACCGAUGGCGAAGGCAGUUCUCUGGGCCGUAACUGACGCUGAGGAGCGAAAGCGUGGGGAGCAAACAGG